rnacentral:hammerhead_ribozyme from 1 species
GCACCGCUCACGAGUCCCACAAUAGGACGAAACGGCCGUCCAGUGC